CUUCAAAUAAUUAUUAGUAAUUAAUUUUGCCUCAGAUUUUAUUUCAAUAGGCGAUAAGCCUCCACUAAAAGUUUCAGUUAGGUCAAACCAUUAACAUGAACCUACUCAAUAUUUCUAGCUAAUGAAUGAUCAAGUUCGAGGAUGGCUCGGUCAACACAACCAUCAUCAGAUAGCACAACAGAGUCAUCAUAUGAUAAAUGAUAAUUUCAUAUUCUUAGAGAACAC
rnacentral:lncRNA from 1 species